ensembl:lncRNA
AUAACGAAUCAAACUGACUGACAACUGACUGAGUGUUUAUGCUGCUCUACUGACCUCUCUCCACACUGCUCUCGCUCUCUGAACAGACUUUUCAGCUGUAACACAGAAAGGAGACACAAACAAGCACAAACAGGAAGUAAAUACUAUAACACUUGUUCUGAUGAAGUGUUUAGGAGUGUUACUAUGCACACGGUGCAGCACCUGCUCGGUGACCAGCCUCCUCUGUUGGUUCGGAUCUACAAGGUCUGUACCCGCGGGUUUCUGUUUUUUAGUCUCUAAUGGAGAUUCUUUCUCUGUUUUGCCCUACGGAAUGAAAUAUGGAUGAAUAAACACAUUAACACACACGUGCAGACAAACAUCAGUCAGUACCUGCUGGGGAGGUUCAAGAUCCUGCAGGUCUCGUUCCCGCUCAAGCGUUUCUGCUCGCCUUCUGCUUUCUGGAGCCAAAACAUAAAAACCAACUGCAGAUCCAAAGCCUGGAUCCUCUGAUGGAGCUCUGCUUUCUCCUUCACA